AAGAUCAUACUUUCAGGGAUCAUUUCUAUAGUCUUUGACUUGCUCCUUGCCAUUGAAAGUGAUCGGUUACUCUCUAGUGGAUGAAGAGAACUGAUGUUCCUUCUGAGUGGUUAGCAGGCAGUGAGUGAUGAUGCAUUUCAAAAUGCUCCUUGUCAUUGAUGACCGUUCCAUGCUCUCUAGUGGAGCCUGGCCUAGGGAUGGCCUCAUGAUCAGAGAUGG
ensembl:snoRNA U3 Small nucleolar RNA U3